GACGAACGCUGGCGGCGUGCUUAACACAUGCAAGUCGAACGGAAAGGCCCUGCUUUUGUGGGGUGCUCGAGUGGCGAACGGGUGAGUAACACGUGAGUAACCUGCCCUUGACUUUGGGAUAACUUCAGGAAACUGGGGCUAAUACCGGAUAGGAUCUCCUGCUGCAUGGUGGGGGUUGGAAAGUUUCGGCGGUUGGGGAUGGACUCGCGGCUUAUCAGCUUGUUGGUGGGGUAGUGGCUUACCAAGGCUUUGACGGGUAGCCGGCCUGAGAGGGUGACCGGGCAAAUUGGGACGGAGAUACGGACCAGAGUCCAACGGGAGGCAGCAGUGGGGAAUAUUGCACAAUGGGAGGAAGCCUGAUGCAGAAACGCGGCGUGCGGGAUGACGGCAUUCGGGUUGUAAACAGCUUUCGACUGUGACGAAGAGUGAGUGACGGUAAUGGGUAAAGAAGCACCGGCUAACUACGUG
rnacentral:rRNA from 1 species